GAUGAACGCUGGCGGCGUGCCUAAUACAUGCAAGUCGAGCGAACAGACGAGGAGCUUGCUCCUCUGACGUUAGCGGCGGACGGGUGAGUAACACGUGGAUAACCUACCUAUAAGACUGUGAUAACUUCGGGAAACCGGAGCUAAUACCGGAUAAUAUAUUGAACCGCAUGGUUCAAUAGUGAAAGACGGUUUUGCUGCCACUUAUAGAUGGAUCCGCGCCGCAUUAGCUAGUUGGUAAGGUAACGGCUUACCAAGGCAACGAUGCGUAGCCGACCUGAGAGGGUGAUCGGCCACACUGGAACUGAGACACGGUCCAGACUCCUACGGGAGGCAGCAGUAGGGAAUCUUCCGCAAUGGGCGAAAGCCUGACGGAGCAACGCCGCGUGAGUGAUGAAGGUCUUCGGAUCGUAAAACUCUGUUAUUAGGGAAGAACAAAUGUGUAAGUAACUAUGCACGUCUUGACGGUACCUAAUCAGAAAGCCACGGCUAACUACGUG
rnacentral:rRNA from 1 species